GCCGGGAAUACACACCUUGGUAAUAAGAGGUGUCUCCGGCCAGCGGGGAGGCUUCUAAGCCACUUUUGUUCGUGACGGGGCCCAUGGCCAGGCUGCCGGGCAUGGGGGAGCCGUAGCCGGAGUAGUGCAUCACCUGCUCUGACGCAGAGAUUCACAUCACCUGCUUUCCAUGAAUGCAGCCCCAGGGGGUCAUUUGGGAAGUAAAAGAACCCAUCAUGCCCAUCCUAUCAACGUAACACCUAGGAGCCCCAGUCAUGGACCAGAGCCCCAAUGUGCUAGGUGCUGUACAAACAGAAAACAAAAAGACAAACUUCGAUUGUGAACUCUUUGAGGCAGAAGCUAAGACAAGAGACAACAGAUGGAGAGAGAGAUGAGGGAGUAAAAUGAAACAAUGGGACAAUAUUGGUCACGAUUGGCAGUGGUCACAACAGCCCAGCCGUUUAAUUCUAGCAUAGAGAGCAUUCCCUCCUUCAAAACCAUACGAUUGUGAAAAAUCACUACCCCACUCAUUAUUUCUGUAUCUAUUGUUUAAUUAAAAUGGCUAAGAAACAUUCGUUGAGAUUUUUUUUUUCCCCUUUGGGAAGAGUGAGAAUGAUGCAGCCUUAGAAAAAAAAUGGAUUGAAUUUGGCAAAAGGAUUUUGCUUCCUGUUUUUCGAAGGUUAGCCCUUAUGUUUGUAAUUCUUCUUUCUUCCACCUGUCCAGUGCUUAAUUUGUGCCAGGACUUGCCAGACCUGAGCCCCAGUACAUCUAGGCUUGGCCAUUCAUAGUUCCGGCACCUCUUUCAUUACAAAUUAAGCCCUGCCCCCAGUCUCUCAAGCUAAUCCCUUUGUGUUCAAUACGUCAAUACGUCAGCCUCAUAGUCCUGGCUACACAUUGUUUUUGUACCAUGUUUUUGUGGUUUUUUUUUUUUACCAUAAUAGUUACUCCUGAUACAGUCCCCAGUGUAGACGCGAUAAAAUCAAUCCCCGAUCACGCUGUUGUCGACUCCGGAAAUCCACCGCGGUGAGAGGUGGAAGCAGAGUUGACGGGGGAGCGGCAGCGGUCGACUCGC